AUUGAACGCUGGCGGCAUGCUUUACACAUGCAAGUCGAACGGUAACAGGUUAAGCUGACGAGUGGCGAACGGGUGAGUAAUGCAUCGGAACGUGCCCGGUCGUGGGGGAUAACGCAGCGAAAGCUGCGCUAAUACCGCAUACGAUCUGAGGAUGAAAGCGGGGGACCGUAAGGCCUCGCGCGAUCGGAGCGGCCGAUGUCAGAUUAGGUAGUUGGUGGGGUAAAGGCUCACCAAGCCAACGAUCUGUAGCUGGCCUGAGAGGACGACCAGCCACACUGGGACUGAGACACGGCCCAGACUCCUACGGGAGGCAGCAGUGGGGAAUUUUGGACAAUGGGCGAAAGCCUGAUCCAGCUAUGCCGCGUGCAGGAAGAAGGCCUUCGGGUUGUAAACUGCUUUUGUACGGAGCGAAAAGGUCUCCUCUAAUACAGGGGGCUCAUGACGGUACCGUAAGAAUAAGCACCGGCUAACUACGUGCCAGCCGCCGCGGUAACAC
rnacentral:rRNA from 1 species